ACCAGGGACUACUGCACGGUGACUGUUUCAGUUCCCACAGAAGCACUAAAUUAGGCAACAUUGCGCGUGGUUGGUACUCGGAUGGGUGACCAUCUGGGCAAUCACGUGUGGCUGGCC
rnacentral:rRNA from 1 species